UCCUGCUGUCUGCCCCAGCAAGAGUCUACACUCUUGACCAGAAUUUCCCUUUUUCCUCUUCCUAGAUGACCCACACUCAUCCCUUCCUCCUCUUCAGGUGGUCCACACUCAUCUCUUUCUUCUCUUCAGGUGGUCCACACUCAUCUCUUUCUCCUCCUUUUGGGUGGUCCACACUCAUCUCUUUCUCCUCUUUUUGGGUGGUCCACACUCAUCCCUUCCUCCUCUUCAGGUGGUCCACACUCAUCUCUUUCUUCUCUUCAGGUGGUCCACACUCAUCCCUUUCUCCUCCUUUUGGGUGGUCCACACUCAUCCCUUUCUCCUCCUUUUGGGUGGUCCACACUCAUCCCUUUCUCCUCUUUUUGGGUGGUCCACACUCAUCCCUUUCUCCUCCUUUUGGGUGGUCCACACUCAUCCCUUCCUCCUCUUCAGGUGGUCCACACUCAUCUCUUUCUCCUCUUUUUGGGUGGUCCACACUCAUCCCUUCCUCCUCUUCAGGUGGUCCACACUCAUCUCUUUCUUCUCUUCAGGUGGUCCACACUCAUCCCUUUCUCCUCCUUUUGGGUGGUCCACACUCAUCCCUUUCUCCUCCUUUUGGGUGGUCCACACUCAUCCCUUUCUCCUCUU